rnacentral:rRNA from 1 species
GCGAACGGGUGAGUAACACGUGAGUAAUCUGCCUCUGGCUUCGGGAUAGCCACCGGAAACGGUGAUUAAUACCGGAUAUGACAUCUUCACGCAUGUGAUGGGUGUGGAAAGUUUUUUCGGCCAGGGAUGUGCUCGCGGCCUAUCAGCUUGUUGGUGGGGUAAUGGCCUACCAAGGCUUCGACGGGUAGCCGGCCUGAGAGGGUGACCGGCCACACUGGGACUGAGACACGGCCCAGACUCCUACGGGAGGCAGCAGUGGGGAAUAUUGGACAAUGGGCGGAAGCCUGAUCCAGCAACGCCGCGUGAGGGAUGACGGCCUUCGGGUUGUAAACCUCUUUCAGCACAGACGAAGCGCAAGUGACGGUAUGUGCAGAAGAAGGACCGGCCAACUACGUGCCAGCAGCCGCGGUAAUACGUAGGGUCCGAGCGUUGUCCGGAAUUAUUGGGCGUAAAGGGCUCGUAGGCGGUUUGUCGCGUCGGGAGUGAAAACACCGGGCUUAACUCGGUGCUUGCUUUCGAUACGGGCAGACUAGAGGCAUUCAGGGGAGAACGGAAUUCCUGGUGUAGCGGUGAAAUGCGCAGAUAUCAGGAGGAACACCGGUGGCGAAGGCGGUUCUCUGGGAAUGUCCUGACGCUGAGGAGCGAAAGUGUGGGGAGCGA